UUGAAUUGGAAAUUGUCAAUAGCUGUGAAAAGAACAAUGGUGGUUGUUCUCAUCACUGUGAACAUGCACUUGGUGGGCCCCGUUGUUCCUGUAACCAUGGAUACCAGCUUGAUGCAGAUGAGAAAACAUGCAUAGACCUUGAUGAAUGUGAGACUGGAGAAGCCUGCUGUGCGCAGCUCUGCAUCAACUAUCCAGGGGGCUAUGGAUGCAGCUGCCAGGAAGGCUUCCAGCUCAGCACUGACGGCUGUGGAUGUGACGAUGUGGAUGAGUGUCUGGCUAUCAGCAUAGCCUGUGACCAAGCUUGUAUUAACUCCCUGGGGACGUACCACUGUACUUGUGAAGAAGGCUACAGCAUUGGCGGUGAUGGAAACACUUGCA